rnacentral:rRNA from 1 species
CUCGCAUAGCUACAUCGAUUCGUAGGUCAAAUUUUCAAAAGUUGGGGGUUUAACGGCAGGGCACCGCCAGGGCCUUCCAGAGCGAGGGUUUAACUACUACGCUCGGGGUCCUGGCGAGCUCGCCACUAGAUUUCAGGGCCUGCUUCGUUAGAAGCAGUGCCCCAACACCAAGCAAUGCUUGAGGGUUGAAAUGACGCUCGAACAGGCAUGCCCUCCGGAAUACCAGAGGGCGCAAUGUGCGUUCAAAGAUUCGAUGAUUCACUGAAUUCUGCAAUUCACAUUACUUAUCGCAUUUCGCUGCGUUCUUCAUCGAUGCCAGAACCAAGAGAUCCGUUGUUGAAAGUUUUGAUUCAUUUGUGUUUUUUCUCAGAGUUUCAGUGUAAAAACAAGAGUUAACUUGGCCGCCGGCGUGCCUUCUCCUCACCGGGGUGAGGGGCCUACUAGAGGCCAGCAUGCGCCGAGGCAACAAAAGGUAUAAGUUCACAAAGGGUUUCUGGGUGCGCCUGGGGCGCGUUCCAGCAAUGAUCCCUCCGCAGGUUCACCCUACGGAA